rnacentral:rRNA from 1 species
ACACUCCUACGGGAGGCAGCAGUGGGGAAUUUUGGACAAUGGGCGAAAGCCUGAUCCAGCAAUGCCGCGUGCAGGAUGAAGGCCUUCGGGUUGUAAACUGCUUUUGUACGGAACGAAAAAGCUCCUUCUAAUACAGGGGGCCCAUGACGGUACCGUAAGAAUAAGCACCGGCUAACUACGUGCCAGCAGCCGCGGUAAUACGUAGGGUGCGAGCGUUAAUCGGAAUUACUGGGCGUAAAGCGUGCGCAGGCGGUUAUGUAAGACAGAUGUGAAAUCCCCGGGCUCAACCUGGGAACUGCAUUUGUGACUGCAUGGCUAGAGUACGGUAGAGGGGGAUGGAAUUCCGCGUGUAGCAGUGAAAUGCGUAGAUAUGCGGAGGAACACCGAUGGCGAAGGCAAUCCCCUGGACCUGUACUGACGCUCAUGCACGAAAGCGUGGGGAGCAAACAGGAUUAGAAACCCUUGUAGUCCCAUG